rnacentral:lncRNA from 1 species
UGGUUAAAACUGUUAAAACAGAGAGACUAAAAAGGUAAUUUAGUCUGACAAUUUUGUUUUUGAAAUUAUUAAAUAAAAAAGAUAUAAAAUUUAUUUUAUUUUAAUGAAAUAAUAAUAAAGAUGAAAAAGAAAAACAUAAAACAAAUCCAUAAGCUAUAUGAUUGGUUGGUCAAAAAACAGGUUUGACCAGUCUGUGUUUUAACCUGGUCUUCAUCCCCACUCAAGUCUCGG